CCAUUGCCGCACCAGCUGGGCUCGAACUGAGCUCAGGCUGAGUUCGCUCAAAGCGCCAAACCGGGUCAGACUCGGUCUGGUUGAUGCAGGUAUAGGGCGAACCGAUGCUGUUCACUAGGUUGAUGGAGCAGAUCGAGUAGCUAGGGAGCUAGGCGGGGUCCUUGCGGCCCGCAUUGAUCUCCACUACUAGUUGAUAGACUCAUACUUUCACUUACUUGAAUUUUGUUAUUUGAGAUUGUAUAAGUCCUGUAUGGGCGCUACAUUUGGAAUUUUGUAAUGAUCAGAAUAUUUUCAUACAAUGCAUGGUUUAAUCUAGCUUC